GGGCGAGUGGUGGAAUGGCAGACACGCUAGUCUUAGGAACUAGUGCCGCAAGGCGUAGGAGUUCGACUCUCCUCUCGCCCACCA
rnacentral:tRNA from 1 species